GGUAAGAGGAUUAGCCCAAUUAACUCAUUUUUUUGAUCGACGAGUAAUUAAUGGAAUUACGAAUGGGGUUGGUGUUAUAAGCUUCUUUGUAGGAGAAAGUAUCUAAAAGUCUCUAAACAGCCAUUCAUCAAGAGCCAAAUUUUUAACUCAAGACAUUCUCAAUUGAUGCAACUUAUAGUACCUGCAACAAUUAGUUUUUUAAACUUUUGUUGCUUGUAUUGGUUUUCACACCAUUCUAGCACUCUAGAUCAAUAUAAAUCAUUUCCAUAUUAGAAAGAAAUGUUUCAAUACACCAUUUCUCGAAAAUAACUAGUGCAUUGAAAAUUUGCGAGGCCACUCCUCUCACUGGUAUUUAUCUCUCUAUUGCUUUCAUUGACAAUUAAAUAAAUAAUAAUAAUAAAUAUUUCCUUUUACCUGUGUUGUCAUUUCCCCAUCUUCGUUAAUUUGAAAUUAUGAAAGUAAACACAAUGAAAAAUCGAAUCCAUAUUCAACAAAUGUAUAAAUAACAGCACAUCCAUGAGAAAUUACUUUCCAUCUAAAAAACUUGGAAUAUUAUGGAAUCUCCACUCAUCGCCAAAUUCUGAAGCAAGCAAACAUUAAGUACAGUCAAAUUCGGAAGGCAGAAAAUAAUUGAAACACUAUAUGUUUCCUAAUUAUAACUUUAGCACUGCUCUAAUGAUCAAAAGUAGAUGAAAAUAUUAUGCUUCCGGUACUAACUGCUAUACGUGUAUAUCAAGAUCCUGAAUUUAGUUUGUCUAGCUCAUCAAUUUCCUUCCAAAUAGCAAUGAAGUGAUUUGAAAUUCAACUCAAUAUUACUAAAAUAAAACGAGCCCGUGGGCAAACAAUAUUCAGAAUUUAUAUUUUCUUACAGCAUCGUUUCAAAAUAAUCCAACUUCACUCCAAGUUUAUACUAUAAAGCUAAUUAAAAGUCAACUCUCCUACAAAAAACAAAAAAGGGAAGGGAAA
rnacentral:lncRNA from 1 species